AUGGGAACGCGAAGAACCUUACCUACUCUUGACAUCCAGAGAACUUUCCAGAGAUGGAUUGGUGCCUUCGGGAACUCUGAGACAGGUGCCGCAUGGCUGUCGUCAGCUCGUGUUGUGAAAUGUUGGGUUAAGUCCCGCAACGAGCGCAACCCGUUAUCCUUUGUUGCCAGCGGUUAGGCCGGGAACUCAAAGGAGACUGCCAGUGAUAAACUGGAGGAAGGUGGGGAUGACGUCAAGUCAUCAUGGCCCUUACGAGUAGGGCUACACACGUGCUACAAUGGCGCAUACAAAGAGAAGCGACCUCGCGAGAGCAAGCGGACCUCAUAAAGUGCGUCGUAGUCCGGAUUGGAGUCUGCAACUCGACUCCAUGAAGUCGGAAUCGCUAGUAAUCGUAGAUCAGAAUGCUACGGUGAAUACGUUCCCGGGUCUUGUACACACCGAGUCGUGGGAGGCGAAGGGC
rnacentral:rRNA from 1 species